rnacentral:rRNA from 1 species
GACGAACGCUGGCGGCGUGCCUAACACAUGCAAGUCGAACGGAGAAUUUUAUUUCGGUAGAAUUCUUAGUGGCGAACGGGUGAGUAACGCGUAGGCAACCUGCCCUUUAGACGGGGACAACAUUCCGAAAGGAGUGCUAAUACCGGAUGUGAUCAUCGUGCCGCAUGGCAGGAUGAAGAAAGAUGGCCUCUACAAGUAAGCUAUCGCUAAAGGAUGGGCCCGCAUCUGAUUAGCUAGUUGGUGAGAUAACAGCCCACCAAGGCGACGAUCAGUAGCCGACCUGAGAGGGUGAUCGGCCACAUUGGGACUGAGACACGGCCCAAACUCCUACGGGAGGCAGCAGUGGGGAAUAUUGCACAAUGGGCGAAAGCCUGAUGCAGCAACGCCGCGUGAAGGAUGAAGGGUUUCGGCUCGUAAACUUCUAUCAAUAGGGAAGAAAGAAAUGACGGUACCUAAAUAAGAAGCCCCGGCUAACUACGUGCCAGCAGCCGCGGUAAUACGUAGGGGGCAAGCGUUAUCCGGAAUUACUGGGUGUAAAGGGAGCGUAGGCGGCAUGGUAAGCCAGAUGUGAAAGCCUUGGGCUUAACCCGAGGAUUGCAUUUGGAACUAUCAAGCUAGAGUACAGGAGAGGAAAGCGGAAUUCCUAGUGUAGCGGUGAAAUGCGUAGAUAUUAGGAAGAACACCAGUGGCGAAGGCGGCUUUCUGGACUGAAACUGACGCUGAGGCUCGAAAGCGUGGGGAGCAAAAAGGAUUAGAUACCCUGGUCGUCCACGCCGUCCUCCUCUAAGGUGGGUGUCGGGGAGGAAUCCUCGGUGCCGCAGCUAACGCAAUAAAGCACUCCACCUGGGGAGUGCGACCGCAAGGUUGAAACUCAAAGGAAUUGACGGGGGGCCGCACAAGCGGUGGAGCAUGUGGUUUAAUUCGAAGCAACGCGAAAAACCUUACCAAGGCUUGACAUCCCGAUGACCGCUCUAGAGAUAGAGCUUCUCUUCGGAGCAUCGGUGACAGGUGGUGCAUGGUUGUCGUCAGCUCGUGUCGUGAGAUGUUGGGUUAAGUCCCGCAACGAGCGCAACCCUUAUCUUCAGUAGCCAUCAUUCAGUUGGGCACUCUGGAGAGACUGCCGUGGAUAACACGGAGGAAGGUGGGGAUGACGUCAAAUCAUCAUGCCCCUUAUGUCUUGGGCUACACACGUGCUACAAUGGCUGGUAACAAAGUGAGGCGAAACGACGACGUUAAGCAAAUCACAAAAACCCAGUCCCAGUUCGGAUUGUAGUCUGCAACUCGACUACAUGAAGCUGGAAUCGCUAGUAAUCGCGAAUCAGCAUGUCGCGGUGAAUAAAAUCCCGGGCCUUGCACA